CAAACACACCAUUACCUCAAUACCCUGUCAGAUAUGAUGGUGAACCAUAUCUCCAAAACCCUUCCGGUAUGGGAUUUCUUAACCUCAUCUAACUGAAAUAAUGUCUACAGUAGAAAUUUCCCAUGUACCGGGCUCGUUUGCCCUUUUCCAAGGUACCCAGUAAACCUUUCACAUAUAGAUCCCCAUUAACAAAUAAUCACCAAUUUCUUACUAACAUCUCAUUUUAUAUUCACAGAUCAAUCAAACGAUAUUUAAGCAAACAAAGCAUUUUUUUAUAUCUUAACAAU
rnacentral:lncRNA from 1 species